rfam:Aedes albopictus isolate Foshan contig52675, whole genome shotgun sequence.
GGCUCGGUAGCUUAGUUGGAAAAGCACUUGUCUAGCGGAUAAGGGUCGUGAGUUCAAAUCUCACCUGAGCUG